GAUGAACGCUGGCGGCGUGCCUAAUACAUGCAAGUCGAGCGAACGGACGAGAAGCUUGCUUCUCUGAUGUUAGCGGCGGACGGGUGAGUAACACGUGGAUAACCUACCUAUAAGACUGGGAUAACUUCGGGAAACCGGAGCUAAUACCGGAUAAUAUUUUGAACCGCAUGGUUCAAAAGUAAAAGACGGUCUUUCUGUCACUUAUAGAUGGAUCCGCGCUGCAUUAGCUAGUUGGUAAGAUAACGGCUUACCAAGGCAACGAUGCAUAGCCGACCUGAGAGGGUGAUCGGCCACACUGGAACUGAGACACGGUCCAGACUCCUACGGGAGGCAGCAGUAGGGAAUCUUCCGCAAUGGGCGAAAGCCUGACGGAGCAACGCCGCGUGAGUGAUGAAGGUCUUCGGAUCGUAAAACUCUGUUAUUAGGGAAGAACAUAUGUGUAAGUAACUGUGCACAUCUUGACGGUACCUAAUCAGAAAGCCACGGCUAACUACGUG
rnacentral:rRNA from 1 species